AAUUACAUUAUUUUCAUUUUUGGGUAAACCAAACCUUUAAGCCCCGGGUAUACUUGGGCCACGGACAUCCGUGUUCGUGCCCGGCCGCACACCCCGUCCGCGUGCAGCCCAAAUUUCGAGACUGUGCGGACGGUGCAUGUGCAACAGCGCAUGCGCAAGCAAGCAAGAAAGAAGAGUCCACAAGGUGGCAAUUCGCACAGCGUGCAGUCGACGAAGAAGAGUGUGGAAAGAGAAACUUAUUCCAAGACGAGUAAACUUAGAAGCAUAUCCUUCUCCAUCGUUUUAGAUUCUUGUUCAUGCCCAGCGAAUGUUCCGUUGAUGACACGACUCAGUGCUGUCCUCCAGUGUCUGGUAGAGUAUAGAAAAAAGUUGUACUGCGCAUUUGUCGAACUCGGUCAUCCACGCGCAUGCACAGUUGAGUGUACUUUGAAAGAUGCGCGCAUGGCACGUCUGGGCAUGGAAAGUGAAAUAUACCCGGGGCUUUAGAGAAAAUCCUUAUAGGCCCUCCUGGCCCCUGUACAGAGUAAGUUAAAAAAUUGUGCAAAUUGUAAUAUAAUUGUUAUAAAGUUGUACCAUAAAUUACAUUAUAUGAUUGAUUAGGAAUGGAGCUAAACCCUGCAGGACAGUGGACCUCAAGUUUCCCACCCCUGAGGUUGAAACAGUUCAGCAGUGAAAAAAAAAAUAUAAGAAAUGUAUAUGCCUCAAUUUUAGGGCACUUAGGCAUGUCAUACAUGCAGCAUAUUUUGCAUAUUACAUUUUCUUUUGCAUGAAACAAAUUUCAAAAAUGUUAAUGACUUUGAUGACUAUUUGAUAACCGAAUUUCCAGCGAAGAACUGCACAACCCAUGAUCCUAAUGAGAGAGAUCUACCAAUCAGUCGCUGGAAGUGAAAUCGCAGCAAAUUGCUCAGCAGCAAGCAUACAAUCCCAUGAAGCACUGAGAAGAAAAUAAGGUGGUCAAGAUUUGGCUUGUUAGCAUGACCCUGUUAGCAGAUUCAGAACACUGGACAUUCUGCAACAUCUUCUUGUGUGAUCAGCGGCAGAAAGAAAACAAUUUGGGUUUGGAACAACAUGAGGAAUCCUGAAGAAAAUCAUCUUACCUGUCCCCAUUCUCCUGGGAUCCAGCGUGGCGGUGGACAACGACCAAGGCUGCAGCGAAUACGUACUGGAGUACAUCUCAAAGUUUCUAUACUCACUCUGGAGGACAAGGCUCGGUGUUACAAGGUCGCUGGUUCCCUGGCGGUUUGCUGUCCGGGUCACAGUAGCUGUUUUGGACCACGGAAUUGUCAUCCAGUCUUUUACACACC